rnacentral:lncRNA from 1 species
AUCUAAGAGCAAGAACCACAAGUGAUAUACAAGUGUAUAAAGAGAGAUAGUCUAACUAUCACAAUCAUUCAACAUUUACAUUAUUUGAAUAUAUUAUAUUUUCAUCUUCCAAAAUGUAAGUACAUGUUUUCUUCAAAAUACAAGUAGCUCUCUGAUAUCUAUCCAAAAUAUCAACUAGUACACGAGGGUACUCUAAUGCAUAAGGAAAAGCUACUAACUAGGCUCACUUAGGGCGCUAUGCCCUUGCCGCGGUCCUCGCUCGGCUCGCCUCUAUGUGUACCUGUACCCCAAAACCACACGGGGUGAGAACUAUAUAAAUAUAGUUCCCAGUGGGUUCGGCCGCCGACGCCGCCGGUUUUCCCACUAGGUCUAAGCUGGCACAGAUAGAGAGAUANUCCACCCCCCACAGUAGGGCUUUGUAGGCCCAAAGGAAAAUACGGAUUCAAAUUAAAACUAGUAUUAGUAUAUAACUAUAACUCGUGAUAUCCUAAUCAUCUUCUUAUGUAAGGUAAAGGAACGUACGAAUGAUAUCAUCACAUCGUAACACCCGAACUGUGAUCUUGAAUCCAACGUACUCCUAACCCCGUACAUCGUUCUUAGGAUACUCAACGCCAUUAAAGUACGAAUCACACUCCCUACUACUAGGUACUAACGUACUAUGACCAUCCUUAUAGAUAAACGUACUACAACUCCAUCUACACCUGUACAUAUAACGUACUCUUGAAAAUAUCCUACGGUUAUAUCUACAUGAAUACGUACAACGUAACUCAACGAUCGCCUGUAUACGUACUCCUAUACUACACUCUUAUCUGAUCUAGUACUCCUCGAUCAUACACUUGGUUACUGUAACAUUUUAAUCUUUGGUAACGUAUACACCGGCUGAACUUGUAUCGUACGGAACACUAAUAAACCCCACACCCUAGGGGCUACAGGAGCCCGCCCUCCUGAUCUAGUAUGAGCAAGCAGACAACAUAAACUCCUCCAGCGCGGAAGGUAAAGACACUCGAGGCCUCAACAUAGUGUCACUCUAACUCUGCCCCCUCCACCAGUGGUGCCACACGGGGGCCGUCUGCCAGUGCCACCGCACUGCCACACCUGGCUCAGCACCAAGCUGGAAACCCGCUUGGCUAACCUAACUUAGGUCCGUACAAGUACCGUAAUGUAUCUCACGUAUGUACCAUCUUGAAUAUGAACAACUGUACUAAUCAUUUCCGUAUCGAUGUGUAAACUCGUACUAUAUCUACAUCUACUCGUCUCAUACGAACAACAAUAUAGAUAAUAAGGAAACUGUACAACUGGAGACAUAACAAAGAUACGGAAAUUUACCGCUAUCACGAGGCUAGGUUCUCAAUUGCACGUUCCCUAGUCGCCGCUUUACUCUUCGGUCGCAUCUGCUCGACGAAUCGACGAAUCGACGCUUCACACGCGUUUAGGCACCUCAAACACAAGCUUUUCCUCAAACCAAGUAAUGAAGAGGAUGAAGACUUCACCUCCAAGCAACCUUUUUCUUCUCCAAAUGCACCUCCAAUUCCUCUCUUUGGUGGAGAAAUUGUUGGAGAGAGAGAGAUAUUUCUCUUUGGUUGCAAGUGUGAGGGAGAAAGAAAGAAAAGGCUCAAGUCCCCUAUAUAUAUAUAGGAAACUUGGCCUCCAAGUU